rnacentral:rRNA from 1 species
GUGGGGAAUUUUUCGCAAUGGGGGCAACCCUGACGAAGCAACGCCGCGUGGAUGAUGAAGUAUCUCGGUACGUAAAAUCCUUUCGACAGGGAAGAAACCGCAAGGUUGACGGUACCUGUAGAAGAAGCCCCGGCUAACUCCGUGCCAGCAGCCGCGGUAAUACGGGGGGGGCUAGCGUUGUUCGGAAUUACUGGGCGUAAAGGGCGCGUAGGCGGUCUGCUAAGUUGGAUGUGAAAACUCUGGGCUUAACCCAGAGCCUGCAUUCAAUACUGACAGGCUAGAGUUCUGGAGGGGAUAGCGGAAUUCCUGGUGUAGCGGUGAAAUGCGUAGAUAUCAGGAGGAACACCGGUGGCGAAGGCGGCUAUCUGGACAGAGUCUGACGCUGAGGCGCGAAAGCUAGGGGAGCAAACAGGAUUAGAAACCCCGGUAGUCC